GGCACUGCCAUUUGGUUGCGGUGGCCUACACUUUGCACAAUAAUCCACACACUCACCGCCUUCACAUUCAUUCGCCGGAAAAUCGCCGCUCCAUGGUUGAGAUCGACGCCGCCAUUGAUUCCGGAGCUCCGACAUUGGAUUUCUGUUGCUUUCUCUCACGAUUCAUCUGAUUCGAUAUGAAGGAUGAUGACGUGCUCCCCGUAUCCACGCCCACAUCCUCCUCGAUUCUGUCAUCUUCCUCGGCGAUCCACAGAAAGGACAGCUCCUCGGAUUCGUCCGGAAUUCUCGGCCGCGGCCGCUACAAGUUUUGGGCGCUCGCCGCGAUUUUGUUGCUGGCGUUCUGGUCGAUGCUCACCGGCACCGUGACUCUCCGGUGGUCAGCUGGAGAUCUGAAAAAUCGAUUCGACAACGAUUAUAUGUCCCGUGUCUCCCAGGAUCUCGACGUCCUUGAAAUGGAGGAGAGGGAGAAGCUGGUGAGGCACAUGUGGGACGUGUACGCUAACAACCAGAGGGCGCGAUUGGGGGGAUUUUGGCAGGAGGCUUUUGUGGCUGCCUUCGAGGAUUUGACGAGCGAGGUGCCUGAAAUCAGGGAGGCUGCCAUUGCAGAGAUCGCUCGGAUGUCCACUCGCUACCUCAUGCUCGAUCUACCUUCUCAGCAUUCUUCUUUGUCGUUGCUCGGUAAGUAGCCACUGUACUAGACAUUCUUUAGCGGGAAUCGUCACCAAGUGCAAGCACUAGACUUGCAUCUAAGAGCUUACAAAACUUGCACUUAAAUCAAGGGGAGAGCAGCGGAGUGACAUCGACAGCAAGAAGUUUAUGACAUAAAAUGCAUGGUACACCAUUGCCUGGAAGUUAUUUAUUCUUUUUAAAUUAGUCUCGUGGGAAGGAUGCACUACUUGAUUUACAUGAGGAGAUAUUAUUCUCAGUUAUCAUGUUUUUGGAACUCAGAUCAAUCAUUUUGUAUUUAGUUAGCUUCGGGUUUUUGUUUAUCUUGUGGUUGAGGAGCAAACAUAAUCUUUAAUUCAUUUUGUUCAUGUGAAAAGUUGUGCUUUUCUCUUUUUCUGCCUCGAUUCAUUCUUGCCCGGGAUA